rnacentral:rRNA from 1 species
UGAACGCUGGCGGAAUGCUUUACACAUGCAAGUCGAGCGGCAGCGCGGGGGCAACCCUGGCGGCGAGCGGCGAACGGGUGAGUAACAUAUCGGAACGUACCCAGACGUGGGGGAUAACACAUCGAAAGAUGUGCUAAUACCGCAUACGACCUGAGGGUGAAAGGGGGGGAUCGCAAGACCUCUCGCGUUUGGAGCGGCCGAUAUCGGAUUAGCUAGUUGGUGGGGUAAAGGCUCACCAAGGCGACGAUCCGUAGCUGGUCUGAGAGGACGACCAGCCACACUGGAACUGAGACACGGUCCAGACUCCUACGGGAGGCAGCAGUGGGGAAUUUUGGACAAUGGGGGCAACCCUGAUCCAGCCAUUCCGCGUGAGUGAAGAAGGCCUUCGGGUUGUAAAGCUCUUUCGGCAGGAACGAAACGGUGGAGGCUAAUAUCCUUCAUCAAUGACGGUACCUGAAGAAGAAGCACCGGCUAACUACGU